UCAUAAAUUUAACAUGACACAUUUUAUGAGUGCACACUAAUUUAGCAGCAAAGGUCUUAUUUAAUGACGAAGGUCGGAUGUUAGGAGAAAGAUAAACAGGAAAGACCCAUCAGGCAUGCUAAGUAAGGCAUCCAAGCAGCAGGAUGGAUAGCAUUGAAAGGGCAGCCCUGGAUCCUUGGGAAGCCGCACAGCCUCAGGCUCUCAGCCUCUCUCCCCACUUUUUGACUUCCUGCGCAUGUCCUUAUAUGGGGUGCUGUCCCUUCCCAGGCCUUCAGUUCUCCACUUUAGGCUGCACGCUGUGUGCUGGAGAGGGCUUCUUCGGGCAGAUACUUAGUGAACAUUUUGUUUAUUUAUUCGUCUGCUUGUUUGUUAUUUCCUGCGGCUGUGUGUGUUGCCAUGGCACACGUGUGGAGGUCAAUGGACAGCAUCGGAGAGCUGGUUUUCUCCUUUCUCUGUGGGUCCUGGCGUCAAACUUCAGGUUUCCAGGCUCGAAACCUGGCAAGUACAUCUGGCUGUGUCUUCUUGACCAUGGUAGAGGCAGAAGAAGAAACAUCUAUGCGCUGAUGACCCGGGAGCAUGGCGUAUGGCAG